rnacentral:rRNA from 1 species
UCGUAACAAGGUCUCCGUAGGUGAACCUGCGGAGGGAUCAUUACACAAAUAUGAAGGCGGGCUGGAACCUCUCGGGGUUACAGCCUUGCUGAAUUAUUCACCCUUGUCUUUUGCGUACUUCUUGUUUCCUUGGUGGGUUCGCCCACACUAGGACAAACAUAAACCUUUUGUAAUUGCAAUCAGCGUCAGUAACAAAUUAAUAAUUACAACUUUCAACAACGGAUCUCUUGGUUCUGGCAUCGAUGAAGAACGCAGCGAAAUGCGAUAAGUAGUGUGAAUUGCAGAAUUCAGUGAAUCAUCGAAUCUUUGAACGCACAUUGCGCCCUUUGGUAUUCCAAAGGGCAUGCCUGUUCGAGCGUCAUUUGUACCCUCAAGCUUUGCUUGGUGUUGGGCGUCUUGUCUCUAGCUUUGCUGGAGACUCGCCUUAAAGUAAUUGGCAGCCGGCCUACUGGUUUCGGAGCGCAGCACAAGUCGCACUCUCUAUCAGCAAAGGUCUAGCAUCCAUUAAGCCUUUUUUUCAACUUUUGACCUCGGAUCAGGUAGGGAUACCCGCUGAACUUAAGCAUAUC